rnacentral:rRNA from 1 species
UAAGCCUGUGAAGGUGGCCUGUGAGGGUUGCUGGAGGUAUCAGAAGUGCGAAUGCUGACAUAAGUAACGAUAAAGCGGGUGAAAAGCCCGCUCGCCGGAAGACCAAGGGUUCCUGUCCAACGUUAAUCGGGGCAGGGUGAGUCGACCCCUAAGGCGAGGCCGAAAGGCGUAGUCGAUGGGAAACGGGUUAAUAUUCCCGUACUUGGUGUUACUGCGAAGGGGGGACGGAGAAGGCUAUGUUGGCCGGGCGACGGUUGUCCCGGUUUAAGCGUGUAGGUGUGUGUUCCAGGUAAAUCCGGUUCACUUUAACACUGAGGCGUGAUGACGAGGCACUACGGUGCUGAAGCAACAAAUGCCCUGCUUCCAGGAAAAGCCUCUAAGCAUCAGGUAACACGAAAUCGUACCCCAAACCGACACAGGUGGUCAGGUAGAGAAUACCAAGGCGCUUGAGAGAACUCGGGUGAAGGAACUAGGCAAAAUGGUGCCGUAACUUCGGGAGAAGGCACGCUGACACGUAGGUGAAGUGAUUUACUCAUGGAGCUGAAGUCAGUCGAAGAUACCAGCUGGCUGCAACUGUUUAUUAAAAACACAGCACUGUGCAAACACGAAAGUGGACGUAUACGGUGUGACGCCUGCCCGGUGCCGGAAGGUUAAUUGAUGGGGUCAGCGCAAGCGAAGCUCCUGAUCGAAGCCCCGGUAAACGGCGGCCGUAACUAUAACGGUCCUAAGGUAGCGAAAUUCCUUGUCGGGUAAGUUCCGACCUGCACGAAUGGCGUAAUGAUGGCCAGGCUGUCUCCACCCGAGACUCAGUGAAAUUGAACUCGCUGUGAAGAUGCAGUGUACCCGCGGCAAGACGGAAAGACCCCGUGAACCUUUACUAUAGCUUGACACUGAACAUUGAGCCUUGAUGUGUAGGAUAGGUGGGAGGCUUUGAAGUGUGGACGCCAGUCUGCAUGGAGCCGGCCUUGAAAUACCACCCUUUAAUGUUUGAUGUUCUAACGUGGACCCGUUA